rnacentral:lncRNA from 1 species
UUGCUCCGCGCUAACCCUCCCUAUUGCCAUUCCUGUAUAAGGGAUUCCCAAUGAACAUUGUCAAAGACUUUCUCGCUCACAGCUUAAUAUGAAGACUUCUAAGCUAAACAGAGAAGCCUCAAAGACCCAACAAACAAUUAGAAGUUGCUCGAAGUUUUCCUUCUUGGGGCAUUAGAUUAUAAUAAACAUUUGGUACCAAUAUUCCUGGAGGGGAAGAGAUAUUAUACCUCCUGACGUAAAGGAACUUCCAUCAGGAGUUUGAAUCUGCUUACUCUUUUAUAUUUCUGAUUAUUCAUUUGUUUAUGGCCCUUCUCAUUUUAGAUGCGUAGU